UACGUAGGGACCAAGCGUUGUUCGGAUUUACUGGGCGUAAAGGGCGCGUAGGCGGCGCAACAAGUCACUUGUGAAAUCUCUGGGCUUAACUCAGAACGGCCAAGUGAAACUGUUGUGCUAGAGUGCAGAAGGGGCAACUGGAAUUCUCGGUGUAGCGGUGAAAUGCGUAGAUAUCGAGAGGAACACCUGCGGCGAAGGCGGGUUGCUGGGCUGACACUGACGCUGAGGCUCGAAAGUGCGGGGAUCAAACAGG
rnacentral:rRNA from 1 species